GACGAACGCUGGCGGCGUGCUUAACACAUGCAAGUCGAACGGAAAGGCCCUGCUUUUGUGGGGUGCUCGAGUGGCGAACGGGUGAGUAACACGUGAGUAACCUGCCCUUGACUUUGGGAUAACUUCAGGAAACUGGGGCUAAUACCGGAUAGGAGCUCCUGCUGCAUGGUGGGGGUUGGAAAGUUUCGGCGGUUGGGGAUGGACUCGCGGCUUAUCAGCUUGUUGGUGGGGUAGUGGCUUACCAAGGCUUUGACGGGUAGCCGGCCUGAGAGGGUGACCGGCCACAUUGGGACUGAGAUACAGCCCAGACUCCUACGGGAGGCAGCAGUGGGGAAUAUUGCACAAUGGGCGGAAGCCUGAUGCAGCAACGCCGCGUGCGGGAUGACGGCCUUCGGGUUGUAAACCGCUUUCGCCUGUGACGAAGCGUGAGCGACGGUAAUGGGUAAAGAAGCACCGGCUAACUACGUG
rnacentral:rRNA from 1 species